ensembl:snRNA U6 U6 spliceosomal RNA
GUGCUUGCUUCGGCAGCACAUAUACUAAAAUUGGAACGAUGCAGAGAAGAUUAGCAUGGCCCCUGUGCGAUGACAUGCAAAUUUGUGAAGCAUUCCUUAUUUUU